rnacentral:tRNA from 1 species
GUGAUCGUAGCUCAACGGCAGAGCGCCAGAUUGUGGAUCUGGUGGUU